UAGCUCAGGCGGUAGAGCACUUGACUUUUAAUCAAGGUGUCCGGAGUUCGAGUCUCCGG
rnacentral:tRNA from 1 species